rnacentral:tRNA from 1 species
GGGGUUGUGGCUCAGUGGUAGAGCGCUCACCUAGCAUGUGUGAGGCCCUGAGUUCCAUCCUCAUCACCACUU